UACAGAGGUCUCAAGCGUUGUUCGGAUUCAUUGGGCGUAAAGGGUGUGUAGGUGGCGCCGUAAGUCGGGUGUGAAAUUUCGGAGCUUAACUCCGAAACUGCAUUCGAUACUGCGGUGCUUGAGUAUGGAAGAGGUGAGUGGAAUUCCGAGUGUAGAGGUGAAAUGCGUAGAUAUGCGGAGGAACACCAAUGGCGAAGGCAAUCCCCUGGGCCUGUACUGACGCUCAUGCACGAAAGCGUGGGGAGCAAACAGG
rnacentral:rRNA from 1 species